AUGGGGAAACCCAGUGUGAUUCGUCACACUAUCAUUAACUGAAUCCAUAGGUUAAUGAGGCGAACCGGGGGAACUGAAACAUCUAAGUACCCCGAGGAAAAGAAAUCAACCGAGAUUCCCCCAGUAGCGGCGAGCGAACGGGGAGCAGCCCAGAGCCUGAAUCAGUGUGUGUGUUAGUGGAAGCGUCUGGAAAGGCGUGCGAUACAGGGUGACAGCCCCGUACACAAAAAUGCACAUGCUGUGAGCUCGAUGAGUAGGGCGGGACACGUGGUAUCCUGUCUGAAUAUGGGGGGACCAUCCUCCAAGGCUAAAUACUCCUGACUGACCGAUAGUGAACCAGUACCGUGAGGGAAAGGCGAAAAGAACCCCGGCGAGGGGAGUGAAAAAGAACCUGAAACCGUGUACGUACAAGCAGUGGGAGCACAGAGCAAUCUGUGUGACUGCGUACCUUUUGUAUAAUGGGUCAGCGACUUAUAUUCUGUAGCAAGGUUAACCGAAUAGGGGAGCCGAAGGGAAACCGAGUCUUAACUGGGCGUUAAGUUGCAGGGUAUAGACCCGAAACCCGGUGAUCUAGCCAUGGGCAGGUUGAAGGUUGGGUAACACUAACUGGAGGACCGAACCGACUAAUGUUGAAAAAUUAGCGGAUGACUUGUGGCUGGGGGUGAAAGGCCAAUCAAACCGGGAGAUAGCUGGUUCUCCCCGAAAGCUAUUUAGGUAGCGCCUCGUGAAUUCAUCUCCGGGGGUAGAGCACUGUUUCGGCAAGGGGGUCAUCCCGACUUACCAACCCGAUGCAAACUGCGAAUACCGGAGAAUGUUAUCACGGGAGACACACGGCGGGUGCUAACGUCCGUCGUGAAGAGGGAAACAACCCAGACCGCCAGCUAAGGUCCCAAAGUCAUGGUUAAGUGGGAAACGAUGUGGGAAGGCCCAGACAGCCAGGAUGUUGGCUUAGAAGCAGCCAUCAUUUAAAGAAAGCGUAAUAGCUCACUGGUCGAGUCGGCCUGCGCGGAAGAUGUAACGGGGCUAAACCAUGCAC
rnacentral:rRNA from 1 species